rnacentral:misc_RNA from 2 species
CAACCCUCAAGCUCUGCUUGGAAUUGGGCACCGUCCUCACUGCGGACGCGCCUCAAAGACCUCGGCGGUGGCUGUUCAGCCCUCAAGCGUAGUAGAAUACACCUCGCUUUGGAGCGGUUGGCGUCGCCCGCCGGACGAACCUUCUGAACUUUUCUCAAGG